CUGCCCCUUCUUCCCUCGAUAUUGAGGCGGAUGCUGAUAGGGUAGUCGAUCCUCGGCCUUUCUUUGCAUGGGUUUAAAGUUUAGUUGAUCAGAGAGUUCGUCACGGAAACAGCUUGAGGUGAGGCUGCGUACAUGGACCCUGCCCAUCCCAUAUUGGCGUAAGCCUUAUCCAAUGGAUACCAAAGUAGAAGAUAAGAAUCAAGCUGAGGUCCUACUGGGUGCCACUGAUCGAGGACUCGUGCAAGCAGAUCCUGGAAGCUGCUUGGACAAUGACUGCCAAGACGAUGGGUCCUGUUCCCCUUCCUACAAAGAGAAGAGUCUAUUGCAUCCUCAA